AUUGAACGCUGGCGGCAGGCCUAACACAUGCAAGUCGAGCGGAUGAAGGGAGCUUGCUCCUGGAUUCAGCGGCGGACGGGUGAGUAAUGCCUAGGAAUCUGCCUGGUAGUGGGGGAUAACGUCCGGAAACGGGCGCUAAUACCGCAUACGUCCUGAGGGAGAAAGUGGGGGAUCUUCGGACCUCACGCUAUCAGAUGAGCCUAGGUCGGAUUAGCUAGUUGGUGGGGUAAAGGCCUACCAAGGCGACGAUCCGUAACUGGUCUGAGAGGAUGAUCAGUCACACUGGAACUGAGACACGGUCCAGACUCCUACGGGAGGCAGCAGUGGGGAAUAUUGGACAAUGGGCGAAAGCCUGAUCCAGCCAUGCCGCGUGUGUGAAGAAGGUCUUCGGAUUGUAAAGCACUUUAAGUUGGGAGGAAGGGCAGUAAGUUAAUACCUUGCUGUUUUGACGUUACCAACAGAAGAAGCACCGGCUAACUUCG
rnacentral:rRNA from 1 species